rnacentral:rRNA from 1 species
CCUACGGGUGGCAGCAGUGGGGAAUAUUGGGCAAUGGGCGCAAGCCUGACCCAGCAACGCCGCGUGAAGGAAGAAGGCUUUCGGGUUGUAAACUUCUUUUCUCAGGGACGAAGCAAGUGACGGUACCUGAGGAAAAAGCAUCGGCUAACUCCGUGCCAGCAGCCGCGGUAAGACGGAGGAUGCGAGCGUUAUCCGGAUUUAUGGGGGUAAAGGGGUGCGGAGGCGGACUGGAAAGUCAGAGGUAAAAUCGAGAGGUUCAACCUCUUUCCGCCGUUGAAACUGUCGGUCUUGAGUAGGCGAGAGGUAUGCGGAAUGCGUGGUGUAGCGGUGAAAUGCAUAGAUAUCACGCAGAACUCCGAUUGCGAAGGCAGCAUACCGGCGCCCGACUGACGCUGAGGCACGAAAGCGUGGGUAUCGAACAGGAUUAGAUACCCGAGUAGUC